rnacentral:rRNA from 1 species
GACGAACGCUGGCGGCGUGCUUAACACAUGCAAGUCGAACGGAAAGGCCCUGCUUUUGUGGGGUGCUCGAGUGGCGAACGGGUGAGUAACACGUGAGUAACCUGCCCUUGACUUUGGGAUAACUUCAGGAAGCUGGGGCUAAUACCGGAUAGGAGCUCCUGCUGCAUGGUGGGGGUUGGAAAGUUUCGGCGGUUGGGGAUGGACUCGCGGCUUAUCAGCUUGUUGGUGGGGUAGUGGCUUACCAAGGCUUUGACGGGUAGCCGGCCUGAGAGGGUGACCGGCCACAUUGGGACUGAGAUACGGGCCAGACUCCUACGGGAGGCAGCAGUGGGGAAUAUUGCACAAUGGGCGGAAGCCUGAUGCAGCAACGCCGCGUGCGGGAUGACGGCCUUCGGGUUGUAAACCGCUUUCGCCUGUGACGAAGCGUGAGUGACGGUAAUGGGUAAAGAAGCACCGGCUAACUACGUG